rnacentral:rRNA from 1 species
AGUGGCGGACGGGUGAGUAACGCGUGGGUAACCUGCCUCAUACAGGGGGAUAACAGUUAGAAAUGACUGCUAAUACCGCAUAAGACCACAGCACCGCAUGGUGCAGGGGUAAAAGCUCCGGUGGUAUGAGAUGGACCCGCGUCUGAUUAGGUAGUUGGUGGGGUAACGGCCUACCAAGCCGACGAUCAGUAGCCGACCUGGGAGGGUGACCGGCCACAUUGGGACUGAGACACGGCCCAA